rnacentral:rRNA from 1 species
CCUACGGGGGGCAGCAGUAGGGAAUAUUGGUCAAUGGAGGCAACUCUGAACCAGCCAUGCCGCGUGCAGGAAGAAGGUCCUCUGGAUUGUAAACUGCUUUUGUAAGGGACGAAAAAGGCGAUGCGUCGCAAAUUGACGGUACUUUACGAAUAAGCCACGGCUAACUACGUGCCAGCAGCCGCGGUAAUACGUAGGUGGCGAGCGUUAUCCGGAUUUAUUGGGUUUAAAGGGAGCGUAGGCGGCUUAAUAAGUCAGUGGUGAAAGGUAGCAGCUUA